CUCAGCAACCCAGUGUAUAGGUGAAGGUGUCAGUCUGCCUGCAUACUGCUACAUGGUUCCUUUUUUGAAGUAGCUAGUUCCUUAUGAGAGCACAAAACUGGGAAGGAGUUCCUGGGUCACCAAAUCCUAUUUCUCAAUAUCUUCAAAAGGCACAAAGAAGUUCUGUUUUCGGAAUGCUGCCCAUCUGACCUGCUUACGGAGGAGCUGCAUCACCAAGGGCAUUGCCCAGAUCUCUGACUGCAAAG